CCGCUCGUAGAGUUGGCGGGCUUGUUUGCGUCAGGGUCGGCGUCGGCGCCGCCCUUUGGCCGCUCGGUAGAGUUGGCGGGCUUGUUUGCGUCAGGGUCGUCGGCGCCGCCUGCUUUGGCCGCAUCGGUAGAGUUGCCGGGCUUGUUUGCGUCAGGGUCGUCGGCGCCGCCUCCUUUGGCCGCAUCGGUAGAGUUGCCGGGCUUGUUUGCGUCAGGGUCGUCGGCGCCGCCUCCUUUGGCCGCAUCGGUAGAGUUGCC